UGCCUCUUUGUCCCUUUGCCCUUCGCCGCCGCCACCAGUUCACCACUAAAUGCUUCCUACUCUUGAACCAUGAUCUGCUGAUCUUCUUGCCACCAGUUACAGACCCUACUGUUAACUGAACGACAGAACAACAACUUAACAGAUUCAACGAAAGCCAACCUCCGCGGAACCCAUGGCAGAAUAUCCGAUGAGAAACGAACAGCAAGGAAUUGUUCAGAAUCUGGGUAUUCAGGUGAAGAAGGAAGAGAAUUAAGAGCUCAUGUGGGUCUAAUGGAAAGAAAAAGCCAAAUGAUAAUUUUGAUUGAAACCCAUUUGGGAAAGAUAAGGAUGAUGAUGUUAAGUUGGAGUUUGCUAGUCCAAUUGUAGAAGAGAACCUGGUCUGUGAGUACUAUGAUGUUUUGCCGUGAAUGGUUGCUACCUGUUUUCCUUACCUUCCUCAUUACGAUGCUUUUACGGCACUGAACUUAAUUAGGCUUCAAUUUUCACACUUUUUUUUGUUCACCUUUUGAGUUCAGCAACAACAUUCUGUAUCCUGAAGAGGUCAAGGACCAGAAGAUUCUUCUCUGUGCUUGCUAUAACUAUGACCACCAGGUGAAGCUCUUAGGAAUUGUAGGAAGCCCAUUUGUAAGCACAGAGGAGAUUGCUUUGAAACUGAAAGGAGUGAAAUAUGAAUACCUUCAUGAAUAUGUUAAAAAGGAAAGUGAUCUUCUAAAGUACAAUCUAGUUCACAAGCUAGUUUCCUAUGCUGGUUCAGAAUGAAAAACCUAUAUAUUCCAGAUGUUCGCAAUGCCAGCCCUGCUCCUCAACCAGUGGCUCUCAUAUAUAGUUAUAAGUUAUGUUCACUAUACAUUCAGGUGGCCCACUUCAGGUUCAAGUAUCC